AGAUGAUCAAAUUUCUUUAAGCAGUCAUGUCUAUAGUCCACAGUCUAAAAACAACUCUAUCACAUGGAGUUGUUUAUUCGCGCAUAUUUGCCCAUGACAUGUUGAAUUAGGUUGUCAAUGUGAUGCCUGUGUCUGCUCCAGACCACUCCUCCCCAACCAAACAUGCAUACAGAUAAGACAUAUUUCCUAACCCGUGGAUAAUAGCCUUGAAUAUCUGCGCCAAUGUAUUCAGAAUACAUGGUCUAUAAAAACAGUGCUUUUUAACUCUGGGUGAAAAUCAUUCUCUUGUGGAGAUACAGAGAGAGACUUGAACAUGAACAUGCACUAAAAAAAGAGAGAGAGAGAAAGAAAAAA